ACUUAUAAUAUUACUAAAUCGAUUUACAUUUUAAAGAGGUCACUAUUAGAACACGAAUCAUAUAUAGUCGUAACGAACUUUGGCAGUGAAACCGAAACAAUCAUCUUGUCCAAUGUCAUACAUGAUGUCAAAGAUGAAUUAUUCGUUUAUUUAGGAAGUGAAAAUUCUAAAUACAGCACUGGAAGUAAAGUAUCUUCUGUUUCAACUGGGUCUUUAUUAAAACUGCGACCACUGUCAGUGGUCGUAUUGACAGAUAAAUAUGUUGACCCCGAAUCACCAAGCAAUAAUUCUAGCACCAGAAUAGAAUUGAGUUUGAAAUUAAUUAGUUUAAUCUGUGUUUUUGUACUUGCAAGAUGUUUUUUAUAAGUUUGUUUUACAUACCUAGUUGUUAAGUGAAUUGUA